rnacentral:lncRNA from 1 species
AAAUAAACAAGGUCCCGGAUCGAGACCUGAGGCUGGAGGAGCGAUCACGCAAAUGCAGACUACUCGGACCUGAAAACAAAUCCCAACCUCCCCUUUCGCCCACUUCGCCGUGGCAGGACACGAUUCCAUUGAACCCCUCCCAACCUAGGAGAUGAGGACUCCAAGCUACCACGCAGGAGAAAAGAAAAAAGAAAAAACGGUGGCGUCAGUCUAGCAUCCCAGAUCCACAGCUGUCCACAGGAUAACUUCCUUGUGCUUCCCCAAACAUAAUUUUUAAGAAAUGCAAGAAUGUCCAGAAUGCAAAGCUGGGACGGCUUUUCCAGCAGCUCGGGAUCUGAAGCCCCUUCUCGACAAGAGUCCUUCUUCAAGCCCAGCCUCAGCAGAGGUUCUCGGAGCUGUCUCUUCUCCAGAGGAUGAGGUCAGCUUCCUGCGUGUGCUUGUUCUCUCUCUCUCUCUCUCUCUCUCUCUCUCUCUCUCUCUCUCUCUCUCUCUGUGUGUGUGUGUGUGUGUGUGUGUGUGUGUGUGUGUGUGUGUGUGUAAACUGUUGGAACACAUGUAGACUAUUUGUAAUCCAGCACACUGUGGGAUCGCAGCUCCCAAUACUAUUAAAGAAGCAACAAAUUAACAGGCAUCAUUUUUUGAACUCAGAAUCCAUUGAUACAAUGAAACAAAUGACAGUUGGGUUUGUUACUAAACUGUGUGUAAUCUUGUUUUGUGUUUAACUUUUAUUUCUGUCUCCCUGAUUACAGACAGCCAGUGUUAGUCUUCAUGCGUUUCUGUUUUACAUGGAUUACAGAGACACAAAUGGUUGGAUGACGACAAUUUGUCCCUUAUCUUCCAUGAAAAUUGCAGAGCUGGCCCAAGGAGCAGCCCUACUAAGUGCUACUUAGUGAGGAGGGAAAUGAACUUUUUAAGAAUCCCUCCUGACUUUUAGCUCAACCAAAUUUUAUCAUUGUUUGUAAAACCUUCAAAAUCAAGUUUCACCCCUUAAAAUUCUCCACCACUUCUCCCAAAUAGUAUAUUCAGUCAGACUACCCAGAUGAAGUUUGAUAUGCAAUGUUUAGGAUGUAAAUUUUGCUGGGGAAAUACCAGAGAGAGAGCGAGUGAGCGAUCAGUUUUUUGACAUGUUUGAAUCUCUAGGAUCAAUAUCCAGUACU